AAGAAAGAGGGCACCCAGAUCUCUGUGCAUUGCGAAUUAAACGCGAAACCCAGCUGCUUGUCUCUUUCGUGGUAUCCAUGUUCGGACGCAAAUACGUCCUCUUCCACGGGCGCAUCUAAAUAUCAUUUGAUUGCGUGUGGCCUCGGUAGCGGAUGUAUCACCGUAUGGAAACCGGAACCCGAAUCCAUUCCCACUACUUUCCCUGCACACAAUCGAAUGAUACACGACGUCUCGUUUUCACCAAACGCUCAAUAUCUAGCAUCCAUCGGUGCUGAUGAUAAGCUUCACAUAUGGUCUACCCAGUCGUGGGAGGAAAUUGGCGUUUUUGAAAUGAAGAAGGACUUGAUGGGUAUAAACAGACGCAAAAUAUCGUGGGACUCCAGUAGUCAGCGGUUGACAACAGCCUCGGAGCUUACCGAAAUUCUCGUGAUCGAGUGUAUCGCCGGAGUCGACUGAUAUUGAACGCUCUGAUAAAUAGAAGCCAGCCAACAAGCCG